rnacentral:rRNA from 1 species
AGGACGAACGGCUGGCGGCGUGCCUAAUACAUGCAAGUCGAACGGCUUUUCUAUGGAAGCUUGCUUCCACUGAGAAGAUAGUGGCGAACGGGUGAGUAACACGUGGGUAACCUGCCCAUAAGAGGGGGAUAACAUCCGGAAACGGGUGCUAAUACCGCAUAGUUUUCUUGAUCGCAUGAUUGAGAAAGGAAAGACGGCCUUUGUGCUGUCGCUUAUGGAUGGACCCGCGGCGUAUUAGUUAGUUGGUGAGGUAACGGCUCACCAAGACGAUGAUACGUAGCCGACCUGAGAGGGUGAUCGGCCACAUUGGGACUGAGACACGGCCCAAACUCCUACGGGAGGCAGCAGUAGGGAAUCUUCCGCAAUGGACGAAAGUCUGACGGAGCAACGCCGCGUGAGUGAAAGAAGGUUUUCGGAUCGUAAAACUCUGUUGUCAGAGAAGAACAAGUUGGAGAGUAACUGCUCCAGCCUUGACGGUAUCUGACCAGAAAGCCACGGCUAACUACGUGCCAGCCGCCGC